AAUAGAUUGACCUUAAUCGUCUGUCUAAGCUUCAAGAAUUUUUCAUUGAGGAAGACACAACCACAGAUCAAGACUUAAUCCCAAAAUCAAAACCAAAAUGGAACUCAAAGAGAUUAUACAGUGAUUCAAGUUUGGAAAAGAAAAGUUAGUUCUGACUUGGAAGUUGCGUUGAAAGAAAAACAGCCUCUAAUUGACAUACAAUGAAUGAAAUCCUUUUAUCUUGUAUUUCUGGACAAUAAUCUUCAUGCAAUUUGAUUGUACAUUGUUACUAUAACCCUAUGGUGGUGGCAA